rnacentral:rRNA from 1 species
GACAGAGGGGGCAAGCGUUGCUCGGAAUUACUGGGCGUAAAGGGCUCGUAGGUGGCCAACUAAGUCAGACGUGAAAUCCCUCGGCUUAACCGGGGAACUGCGUCUGAUACUGGAUGGCUAGAGUUUGGGAGAGGGAUGCGGAAUUCCAGGUGUAGCGGUGAAAUGCGUAGAUAUCUGGAGGAACACCGGUGGCGAAGGCGGCAUCCUGGACCAACACUGACGCUGAGGAGCGAAAGCCAGGGGAGCAAGCGGG